UACGUAGGGGGCGAGCGUUGUCCGGAGUUACUGGGCGUAAAGCGCACGCAGGCGGUCUGUGAAGUUUGGAGUGACAGUUGGUGGCUCAACCACCGAAGUGCUUUGAAAACUGACAGACUUGAGGGCUUCAGAGGGACACGGAAUUCCGGGUGGAGUGGUGAAAUGCGUAGAGAUCCGGAGGAACACCAAAGGCGAAGGCAGUGUCCUGGGGAGUACCUGACGCUCAGGUGCGAAAGCCAGGGGAGCGAACGGG
rnacentral:rRNA from 1 species